CCACUUCAGACGCCAGUCCCUAGUCCAGGUGCUUUGGACCAAUUGGCUGCAGAUGGAAGUUCCCACGACCCUCUGCUCAGGUACAACUAAUUUGCUAGAGCGGCUCACAGGUCUCCAAGAAGCAUCUUACUCACCAGAUUACCAGUUUAUCACCAAGGGAUUUAACUCAGGAACAGCCAGAUGGGAGAGAGGCCUGGGGCAUGGCAUCAAGGCUCUGAGAAAACCUCUCGAGUUGUGCUGGCUGGGUAUUGUGGCCACAAUGAACAUCUCUAACAGAGAGCAUGGACAGAUGGUCUUUAGCAGCUCACUUUGCAGAAGAAAAGCUGUCUACUCUCAGGGAGCCUGUCCAAGUAAUAAAGAAAGUAUGGGAAAAAUGC